rnacentral:sRNA from 1 species
AAUUAAUAUGGUUUUUUCUUUUAUUGCCAAAAUAUCCGUCGUUUUUUUACAAUUUUUGGGGAUAUAUAAUUGUUUUAUACUUUAUUAUCGAAAAAUAUUCGUAUAAAUUUACUAUUAAAUCGUAUAUUGAAAAAUAUAUAUUUGUAUUUUGCUACCGUAUUUUGCGUAAUAUUUAGGGUUUUUAUUUCCGUUUUUUUUUCGCCAUCCGGUACCUUAUACCGUUUGGUUAUUUUAAUUUUUUAAAUUGUUAAAUUCGCGUUGUGGGUUUUUGGUUUUUUUAUUUCGGGGCGUAUAAUUGUUUUUUAUUUUAAUUUGGUUAAAUGGGUGUUUUGUUAAUAUUAAUAUUUUGCGUGCGUUCGUGGAUAUUUGUUUGUUUUUUAUUUGCGGAUCCUAUAUAAUUUUGGUUACGGGUGUAGGUACCUGGUAUUAUUAUUUUCGUAUAUACCAAUUUUGGAUUUUGGUUAAUAUAUGGAUUUUAUAUAUAUUGCGGGUAUAUUCGUAUUAUGGGAAAUUAGGCUGGUGGUAAUACGCUAUAAGGUAUUUGUUUUUAAAUGUAAAAAUAGCCGCUAAUUUGUUUCGGAAUUUAAUUUUAAUUUCCCAACUGGGUAAUUUUUAAAUUGUGUAAAUUUCGUAAAUUCCGGUUAUUAAUUGUCGUUAUAGGAAAAAAUUAUAAUAAAUUUUUUUAUUUAAAUAAAUUCCGCAAUUGGUUUUGAAAUAUUUUACCCAAAAAACGUAAAUAUAUUUUGGAUAUGCGGUAUUUAUUUUGGGGUGGUUUCCAAAUAUCGGUGCUAUAUAUUUUAUAAAAUCCUGUUUUUAUUGGAUUAAAAUAUAACCUGGAAAUUAUAUUAAUUGGUCGUUUCGGUAUAAAUCGAUUUGUUUUUUUUCGUAUUUGUACAAAUUGUUGGUUUUUAUUGCAUUAUAUAUAUUUGGGGUUAUGUUUUUUUUAUCGCUGGAACUUUUUUUAAUAUCGUUAUUUAAUUUUUCGGUUAAUAAUUAAUUUAUUAUUUUACUACAGUAAAUUUGUUUUAAUAAUUCCGUAUCCAAUUUUUUUAAAACGUUCGAAUUUGUAAAUUCGGGUAAUUUGGCGUUUUGUCGGUAUAAAUUAAUUGGUCAUUUUGUUCUAAUAAAUAUUCGAUUUUUUACCGUUAAAAUUCGAAUAUUUCGGGAUUUUUACGAAUAUUAACCUGCGUCAAUUUUAAAAUUAUUAUAAAUUAUAUAAUUAUCGUUAUAAUAAAUGGUCCAAUUUAUUAUAUUAUAUUAAUUAAAUUAUAUUUGGUUAUAAUUAAUAAUAUUAAAUUUUCGUGGUUUUUCGGCUUUACCCCUCAAAUCCGUGGUAAAUUUUAAAAUACCGUUAUAAGUUUCGGAACAAUUUCGCGCAAUAUAUCCUGGUUUGUUACAUUUAAAAUAUUUGCCAUUUUUGGGGUUUUUGCGAAAUUAUCGGUAUUAAAUUGCGUUUAGGUCGAUAAAUCCGUUAUAUAUACCGUACGCGGUAUUAUAUUAACGAAACGGUUUGGGGUAUUGGUAUUUGCGUCCUAUAUUAGUUUGUCGCAAAAUUGGGCCCUAUGCGCUGCGUUUUUCGCGUCGUUCCAAUUUUCGUUUAUAUAAUCGAUUAUCAAUUUUAACCGUUAAUUUUAUAUAUUUUGUUAAUAUAUCGGGUCGUUUUUUUUUAAUAAAUUCGUUUUUAAUUUUUUUUUUAAAUCCCGUAUAAAAACGUAUUAUUAGGGUUUUUUUACCCUAUAAUAAUUUGGCGGUAAUUUGUCGAAAUUUACUGGUAUAUCUGGAUACCGAUAUAAUUUGGGUAAAAUACACCAAUUUACGUUUAGCCGUACGUUUUUCGUUUGGGUUAGCAAAUAUUCCUUUAAAAUAUUUUUCGAAAUUAUCGUAAUUGUCGAAAAUGCGGUUAAUUUUAAUUUUACGGUUUUUUUUUUAUUAUAGUCCAAAUAAUUUCGCAAAAUUGGUUCGAAUUAGGCGAACGCGUCGCCUUUUAAAAACGAAAUUGCGUAAAUAACCUUAUUUAUAUUAUUAUCGAAAUUAUUUUCGUUAAAAUAAAAAUAUGCCCGGGUUUUUGUAAAAAAUCCCUGCAAAAUAUUUGUACUACCAUCGUAUAAUAAUAAUAAAAAAUAUUUAAUAUAAUUUUUAUUAAUUCGAUUAAUUUGUUCGGGUAUUCGUUUUUAAAAUUAUCGAUUUUCGGUUUAAAACGUCGCAACCAUUUAACGCAAAACGUUAACGUUGGCCAAAACGUUAAUAAUAAAAGGGGUUUAAAAAGUAUUUUUGUUGGAAAAUAUUUUUUCGGCGGUAUUAUUCGGUAUAUUUUAAAAUAAAAUAUUAAAUAAAAAGAAUUAAAAUAUUACAAUUAAAA